rnacentral:rRNA from 1 species
GAAUGCUGACAUAAGUAACGAUAAAGCGGGUGAAAAGCCCGCUCGCCGGAAGACCAAGGGUUCCUGUCCAACGUUAAUCGGGGCAGGGUGAGUCGACCCCUAAGGCGAGGCCGAAAGGCGUAGUCGAUGGGAAACGGGUUAAUAUUCCCGUACUUGGUGUUACUGCGAAGGGGGGACGGAGAAGGCUAUGUUGGCCGGGCGACGGUUGUCCCGGUUUAAGCGUGUAGGUGUGUGUUCCAGGUAAAUCCGGUUCACUUUAACACUGAGGC